rnacentral:rRNA from 1 species
CAGCAGCACGGUAAUACAGAGGGUGCGAGCGUUAAUCGGAUUUACUGGGCGUAAAGCGUGCGUAGGCGGCUUUUUAAGUCGGAUGUGAAAUCCCUGAGCUUAACUUAGGAAUUGCAUUCGAUACUGGGAAGCUAGAGUAUGGGAGAGGAUGGUAGAAUUCCAGGUGUAGCGGUGAAAUGCGUAGAGAUCUGGAGGAAUACCGAUGGCGAAGGCAGCCAUCUGGCCUAAUACUGACGCUGAGGUACGAAAGCAUGGGGAGCAAACAGGAUUAGAUACCCCAGUAGUCCCUGUCUCUUAUACA